rnacentral:rRNA from 1 species
AUUGAACGCUGGCGGCAGGCCUAACACAUGCAAGUCGAGCGGAUGGAGGGAGCUUGCUCCUGGAUUCAGCGGCGGACGGGUGAGUAAUGCCUAGGAAUCUGCCUGGUAGUGGGGGAUAACGUCCGGAAACGGGCGCUAAUACCGCAUACGUCCUGAGGGAGAAAGUGGGGGAUCUUCGGACCUCACGCUAUCAGAUGAGCCUAGGUCGGAUUAGCUAGUUGGUGGGGUAAAGGCCUACCAAGGCGACGAUCCGUAACUGGUCUGAGAGGAUGAUCAGUCACACUGGAACUGAGACACGGUCCAGACUCCUACGGGAGGCAGCAGUGGGGAAUAUUGGACAAUGGGCGAAAGCCUGAUCCAGCCAUGCCGCGUGUGUGAAGAAGGUCUUCGGAUUGUAAAGCACUUUAAGUUGGGAGGAGGGGCAGUAAGUUAAUACCUUGCUGUUUUGACGUUACCAACAGAAUAAGCACCGGCUAACUUCGUG